GGGCGGCAGCGGAGGGUGGCCAGUGACGCUGGGGCGGCAGUCCCUCGAAAGGAUAACAAGGGAGCCCAAAGGUCGGCUCAGGCGGGUCAGAACUCCGCCGUAGAGGGCAAGGCCAAAAGCCGGCCUGACUGCGUCCUCACCACCAAGGGACGCAGGGGCGAAAGCCGGGCCUAGCGAACCCGAGUGUCCCUCUUGGUGAGGGCCUCGGAUGACAGAAAAGGUACCCCGGGGAUAACAGAGUGGUCGCGGGCGAGAGUCCCCAUCGACCCCGCGGUUUGCUACCUCGCUGUCGUCUCUUCCCAUCCUGGCCGUGCAGCAGCGGCCAAGGGUAGGGUUGUUCGCCCGUUAAAGGGGAACGUGAGAUGGGUUUAGACCGUCGCGAGACAGGUCGGAUGCUAUCUUCCGGGGGCGCAGGACGCCUGAGGGGAAGGUGCCCCCAGUACGAGAGGAACAGGGCACCGGCGCCUCUGGUUAACCGGCUGUCCGACAGGGCAGGCCGGGUAGCUACGCGCCAGCCGAUAAGGCCUGAAAGCAUCUAAGGCCGAAGCGGCCCCUGAGACUAGGCGUCCAGUCCGGGUCCUUCCGAAAGGGAGGGUCCGGGCGCGGGCUGGGGCUAGACGACCCCGUUGAUAGGCCGGGGGUGUACGCGCCAAGCUUCGGCGAGGCGCUCAGCCCACCGGUACUAACCGCCUGAAGC
rnacentral:rRNA from 1 species